rnacentral:rRNA from 1 species
AUGGCUUCCAGCUCUAGCUGUAGGGCAUGGCAUUGCUUGCUUGCCCUCUUCCUGCUCUCCUCUUUCGCGUAUGGACAGCUUUCGCCGUCGUUCUACGCGAAGACCUGCCCGACGCUGGAACUCAUCGUGCGCUCCACAGUGACCAAGGCAGUCCUCGUCGAGCGCCGAAUGGGGGCGUCCCUCCUUAGGCUCCACUUCCAUGACUGCUUUGUUCAAGGCUGUGACGGCUCCAUUCUCUUGGAUGACAAGGGUAGCUUCGUGGGCGAGAAGACGGCCCUUCCCAACAUGAAUUCGGUGCGGGGCUUCGAGGUGAUCGACGAGAUCAAGAAGAAUGUGGAACUGGUAUGCCCUGGCGUCGUCUCCUGCGCCGACAUCAUCGCCCUCGCAGCACGGGACGGCAUGGUUAUGCUAGGCGGGCCCAGCUGGCCCGUGCCGCUCGGCCAGCGGGACUCGACGACGGCCAGCCUGAAUGCGGCGAACAGCGACAUCCCGACGCCUGACUAUAACCUGGAGCAGCUCAUCGCUGCGUUCAACAAGCACCAGCUGAGCCCACGGGACAUGACGGCGCUGUCCGGCGCGCACACCAUCGGCUACUCGCAGUGCCUCAACUUCCGCGACCACAUCUACAACGGCACCAACAUCGACCCGGUGUUCGGCACGCUGCGCAAACGUACCUGCCCCGCCCAGGCCCCCAACGGCGAUACCAACCUGGCGCCAUUCGACGUGCAGACGGCACUCGUCUUUGACAUCGCCUACUACAGCAACCUGGUCACCAAGCGCGGCCUGCUGAACUCCGACCAGGAGCUCUUCAACGGCGGCUCCCAGGACGCGCUGGUGAGCCAGUACGCUACCAACCCGGCGCUCUUCGCGACUGACUUCGUGGCAGCGAUCAUCAAGAUGUCCAACCUCAGCCCGCCCCCUGGAACCCCCACCCAGAUCAGGCGCAACUGCAGGGUCGUUAACAGCUGA